rnacentral:rRNA from 1 species
UACGGGGGGUGCAAGCGUUGUUCGGAAUUAUUGGGCGUAAAGAGCGUGUAGGCGGCUUGGUAAGUCAGAUGUGAAAGCCCCGGGCUUAACCCGGGAAGUGCAUUUGAAACUGCCUGGCUAGAGUAGGGGAGAGGGAAGUGGAAUUCCUGGUGUAGAGGUGAAAUUCGUAGAUAUCAGGAGGAACACCGGUGGCGAAGGCGACUUCCUGGCCCUAUACUGACGCUGAGACGCGAGAGCGUGGGUAGCAAACAGGAUUAGAUACC